rnacentral:rRNA from 1 species
UUCGCGAAUAGGCUCAUUACAACAGCAAUACUUUACCAGUUGGUAAAUCGUAGACGGAUAACUGCGGUAAUUCUGGAGCUAAUACGUGCAAAAGCCCAGUACCUUUGGUGUUGGGUGCAUUUAUUGGUGCAAAAUCAGACAUUGUCUGUUUGCUUACUCUGAAUAACUUAGCAUAUCGCAUGGUCUUGUACCGGCGAAAGUUCUGUCAAGUAUCUGCCUUAUCAACUGUCGUUGGUGCUGUAUUGGAGUACCAUGGUGUUGACGAGUAACGGAGAAUCAGGGUUUGAUUCCGGAGAGGGAGCCUUAGAAACGGCUACCAUGUCUAAGGAUAGCAGCAGGCGCGAAAAUUACCCAAUGUCAAAAGGACGAGGUAGUGACGAGAAAUAACAAGACCGUUCUCUUUGAGGUCGGUCAUUGGAAUGAGUACAAUUCAGACACUUUAACGAGUAUCAACGAGAGGGCAAGUCUGGUGCCAGCAGCCGCGGUAAUUCCAGCUCUCGUAAGGUAUAGAAUUAUUGCUGCGGUUAAAAAGUUCGUAGUUGGAUGGUUAAAGUUGCACGGGUCUAUCGUUCUACGAUUUGUACUCGUUGCAAUUUGAUUUGUGUGUUCUUCGUGGGUCGUGUGCUUGCAUGCGGCUCGCACCACACAGGAUUACUUUGAACGGCUCAAGUGCUUAAAGCACGUCUUAUGACUGAAUACCGGUGCAUGGAAUAAUGGAACAAGGCUUCGGCCGGGUUUUGCUGGUUUUGCCGGCCGAAACAAUGGUUAACAGAAACAGCCGGGGGCAUUCGUAUUGUUACGCGAGAGGUGAAAUUCGUGGACCGUAGCGAGACGGCCGAAAGCGAAAGCAUUUGCCAAGAGUGUUUUCAUAAUCAAGAACGAAAGUCAGAGGUUCGAAGGCCGAUCAGAUUACCGCCCUCACGG